UAGGGAAUCUUCCACAAUGGACGCAAGUCUGAUGGAGCAACGCCGCGUGAGUGAAGAAGGCUUUCGGGUCGUAAAACUCUGUUAUUGAAGAAGAACGUGUGUGACAGUAACUGGUCAUGCAGUGACGGUAUUCAAUCAGAAAGUCACGGCUAACUACGUGCCAGCAGCCGCGGUAAUACGUAGGUGGCAAGCGUUGUCCGGAUUUAUUGGGCGUAAAGCGAGUGCAGGCGGUCUUUUAAGUCCGAUGUGAAAGCCUUCGGCUUAACCGAAGAAGGGCAUCGGAAACUGGGAGACUUGAGUGCAGAAGAGGAGAGUGGAACUCCAUGUGUAGCGGUGAAAUGCGUAGAUAUAUGGAAGAACACCAGUGGCGAAGGCGGCUCUCUGGUCUGUAACUGACGCUGAGGCUCGAAAGCGUGGGUAGCAAACAGGAUUAGAUACCCUGGUAGUCCACGCCGUAAACGAUGAAUAC
rnacentral:rRNA from 1 species